AUGGCCUGGACUCCCCUCUUUCUGCUCACCCUUCUUCACUGCACAGGAUCCCUCUCUCAGCCUGUCCUGACUCAGUCACCUUCUGCAUCUGCCACCCUGAAAAGCUCCAUAAAGCUUACCUGUACCCUCAGUAGUGGCUACAGUCAUUACCCUGUGAGCUGGUACCAGCAGAGCCCAGGAAAAGGCGUCCGAUAUAUCAUGAGUGUGGGUACCAGUGGUCUGUUAGGAUCCAAGGGAGAAGGGAUUCCUGAUCGCUUUUCAGGCUCAUCUUCGGGCCUGGAUAGGUUCCUGACUAUCCAGAACAUCCAGGAAGAGGAUGAGGUUGACUACUACUGUGGAGCUGGCUAUAGCAGUGGAAGUAGCUAUGCUUAA